CACGUAGGGGGCAAGCGUUGUCCGGAUUUAUUGGGCGUAAAGAGCUCGUAGGUGGUUCGGUAAGUCGGGUGUUAAACCCCCAGGCUCAACCUGGGGACGCCACUCGAUACUGCUGUGACUAGAGUCCGGUAGGGGAGCGUGGAAUUCCUGGUGUAGCGGUGGAAUGCGCAGAUAUCAGGAGGAACACCGAUGGCGAAGGCAGGUCUCUGGGCAUUAACUGACGCUGAGGAGCGAAAGCAUGGGGAGCGAACAGG
rnacentral:rRNA from 1 species